rnacentral:sRNA from 1 species
UAAGCUUGAUUGACAUUCUCACUUAUAUCACAAGCAUUCAUCCUUCUCUCUUUCUACGCAAAGAUGAGAUCUCCUCUAACGAACAACAUCUUAAAUGUAGAUUUUCAUACAACGACGUUUACAAUCUCAAAGAUUCAGAUCGUCCAUGCCGUAGAUUUCAUCAUCUCUAUGUCCAAACCAAUAAGAUAAGU